CCCUUAGACGUUCUGGGCCGCACGCGCGCUACACUGACCAGUGCAACAAGCAUCCGUCCUUGGCCGACAGGCCCGGGCAAUCUUUGAACGCUGGUCGUGAUGGGGAUAGACUUUUGCAAUUUUUGGUCUUCAACGAGGAAUUCCUAGUAAACGCAAGUCAUCAAAUUGCAUUGAUUACGUCCCUGCCCUUUGUACACACCGCCCGUCGCACCUACCGAUUGAAUGGUCCGGUGAAGCCUCCGGAUUGGCGCGCACCUCGGUGCCGCCGAGAAGUUGGCUAAACCUUACCAUUUAGAGGAAGGUGAAGUCGUAACA
rnacentral:rRNA from 1 species